rnacentral:rRNA from 1 species
UGGGCCCCUUCUCCAACCCUUUGUCU